UACGUAGGGGGCAAGCGUUGUCCGGAAUCAUUGGGCGUAAAGCGCGUGUAGGCGGUUCGGUAAGUCCGCUGUGAAAGUCGGGGGCUCAACCCUCGGAUGCCGGUGGAUACUGUCGAGCUUGAGUACGGAAGAGGCGAGUGGAAUUCCUGGUGUAGCGGUGAAAUGCGCAGAUAUCAGGAGGAACACCAAUUGCGAAGGCAGCUCGCUGGGACGUUACUGACGCUGAGGAGCGAAAGCGUGGGGAGCGAACAGG
rnacentral:rRNA from 1 species